rnacentral:rRNA from 1 species
AGAACGAACGCUGGCGGCAUGCCUAACACAUGCAAGUCGAACGCUCAUCUUCGGAUGGGAGUGGCGCACGGGUGAGUAACGCGUGGGAACCUGCCCCGAGGUUCGGGAUAACCGAUGGAAACGUCGGCUAAUACCGGAUACGUCCUAAGGGAGAAAGAUUUAUCGCCCUGGGAGGGGCCCGCGUCGGAUUAGCUAGUUGGUGGGGUAAUGGCCUACCAAGGCGAUGAUCCGUAGCUGGUCUGAGAGGAUGAUCAGCCACACUGGGACUGAGACACGGCCCAGACUCCUACGGGAGGCAGCAGUGGGGAAUAUUGGACAAUGGGCGCAAGCCUGAUCCAGCAAUGCCGCGUGAGUGAUGAAGGCCUUAGGGUUGUAAAGCUCUUUCGGCGGGGACGAUGAUGACGGUACCCGCAGAAGAAGCCCGGCUAACUUCGUGCCAGCAGCCGC